GAAAAGUUUUUCAAUAAAAGGGGUAAGGAAAAUGGUACUUAUCUGCUAUAGGAUAGGAUCGUGUUCGAUUAUGGUUGUUGGUGAGGUAAUGGCUCACCAAGCCGAUAAUCGAUAGGGGCCGUGAGAGCGGAAGCCCCGAGAUGGGUACUGAGACAGCGACCCAGGCCUUACGAGGCGCAGCAGGCGCGAAACCUCCACAAUACACGAAAGUGUGAUGGGGUUACCCAAAGUGUUCUAUUAAGAACUGUGGUAGGUGAGUAAUGUUCCCUACUAGAAAGGAGAGGGCAAGGCUGGUGCCAGCCGCCGCGGUAAAACCAGCUCUUCAAGUGGUCGGGAUAAUUAUUGGGCUUAAAGUGUCCGUAGCCGGUUUAAUAAGUUCCUGGUAAAAUCGGGUAGCUUAACUAUCUGCAUGCUAGGAAUACUGCUAUACUAGAGGGCGGGAGAGGUCUGAGGUACUACAGGGGUAGGGGUGAAAUCUUAUAAUCCUUGUAGGACCACCAGUGGCGAAGGCGUCAGACUGGAACGCGCCUGACGGUGAGGGACGAAAGCCAGGGGAGCGAACCGGAUUAGAUACCCGGGUAGUCCUGGCCGUAAACGAUGCAUACUAGGUGAUGGCACGGCCAUGAGCCAUGUCAGUGCCGUAGGGAAACCGUUAAGUGUGCCGCCUGGGAAGUACGGUCGCAAGGCUAAAACUUAAAGGAAUUGGCGGGGGAGCAC
rnacentral:rRNA from 1 species